AUCAUGAAAGGAGACCUUGCUGCUCCUGAAAUGUACUUUAGCUUCAGGGAUCACUGAAAGUGAGGAAAAAUUGUACUCUCUUUUGUUUAUACUCUUAGAUCCUGAGGGUCAGAGUCCCUGCUGCCUCUCCUCGUGAUCUGAGGGGACCUGGAUCGGAUUUAUGUGUUUCAAGGUAAUCUCGGCUUCCUGGAGCCAUGGAGGAGCCAGGCAUAGAGGUGAAGUUUGCGCAGGUCCGGAUGGAAGGUUGUGCCAUGGUUCUGUGAGAGGAGGCCAUGAUGGAGCGGGCCAUCCUGUGGAGAAAAUGAGGAGAACUGAAGGCUCCAUCUACUGCCGAAGACGGUAGAGAAGGAACUGAGGUAGCCGCGCCGCGCACGCGCCCAACCGACUCCAACGGCACUAGAGGGCAUUGUGGCACAUGCGCAGCAUGGCAGAAACUACUAGAAAAAGUCUCCGGUUGCUGGCACGAGGACGCACCAACAUCCAGAGUGGAGCACCCACGGGGACCACUCGAAGAAGAAGACGUGUU